UACGUAGGCAGCAAGCGUUGUUCGGAAUUACUGGGCUUAAAGGGUGCGUAGGCUGUGCAGAAAGUUAGGUGUGAAAUCCCCCGGCUCAACCGGGGAAUUGCGCUUAAAACUACUGUGCUAGAGGAAGACAGAGGUGAGCGGAACUUCGGGUGGAGCGGUGAAAUGCGUUGAUAUCCGAAGGAACACCGGUGGCGAAAGCGGCUCACUGGGUCUUUUCUGACGCUGAUGCACGAAAGCUAGGGGAGCAAACGGG
rnacentral:rRNA from 1 species